UGGAAGUGAGCAUUGAGGUUGAUGACAGGCCCAGUCCAGUUUCAGUGGAAGUGAGCAUUGAUGUUGAUGACAGGCCCAGUCCAGUUUCAGUGGAAGUGAGCAUUGAGGUUGAUGACAGGCCCAGUCCAGUUUCAGUGGAAGUGAGCAUUGAGGUUGAUGACAGGCCCAGUCCAGUUUCAGUGGAAGUGAGCAUUGAGGUUGAUGACAGGCCCAGUCCAGUUUCAGUGGAAGUGAGCAUUGAGGUUGAUGACAGGCCCAGUCCAGUUUCAGUGGAAGUGAGCAUUGAGGUUGAUGACAGGCCCAGUCCAGUUUCAGUGGAAGUGAGCAUUGAGGUGGAUGACAGGCCCUGUCCAGUUUCAGUGGAAGUGAGCAUUGAGGUUGAUGACAGGCCCAGUCCAGUUUCAGUGGAAGUGAGCAUUGAGGUGGAUGACAGGCCCAGUCCAGUUUCAGUGGAAGUGAG